GGAUGGGAGGGGGGGUUGGGGAGUGGUUAGGGCAAAAGAUGGCAGGAUAAAUCAUAGACCAGGGAAAAAGGGGGAAGCAAGCAAGCCAGGGAGGGAGGGAGAUGGGGGAGUGGGAAAAUGGGUAAGGGGAGGAGUGGGGGGUCAGGAAACGUUUGAAAUGGUAGAAUGAAAGGUUUGAAGGUGAGAGACAGGAAUGGAAGGAAUCCAUGAGACAACCGGAAAGAUGGAGAGAGCGGUUGAGGGAUAGAAAGAACGAAAGAUGGAGCGAGAGGUUGAGGGAUAGAAAGAACGAAAGAUGGAGAGAGCGGUUGAGGGAUAGAAAGAACGAAAGAUGGAGAGAGAGGUUGAGGGAUAGAAAGAACGAAAGAUGGAGAGAGAGGUUGAGGGAUAGAAAGAACGAAAGAUGGAGAGAGAGGUUGAGGGAUAGAAAGAACGAAAGAUGGAGCGAGAGGUUGAGGGAUAGAAAGAACGAAAGAUGGAGAGAGAGGUUGAGGGAUAGAAAGAACGAAAGAUGGAGAGAGAGGUUGAGGGAUAGAAAGAACGAAAGAUGGAGAGAGAGGUUGAGGGAUAGAAAGAACGAAAGAUGGAGAGAGAGGUUGAGGGAUAGAAAGAACGAAAGAUGGAGAGAGAGGUUGAGGGAUAGAAAGAACGAAAGAUGGAGAGAGAGGUUGAGGGAUAGAAAGAACGAAAGAUGGAGAGAGAGGUUGAGGGAUAGAAAGAACGAAAGAUGGAGAGAGAGGUUGAGGGAUAGAAAGAACGAAAGAUGGAGAGAGGUUGAGGGAUAGAAAGAACGAAAGAUGGAAGGAGAGAAAAGAUGGAGACAGCGAGAGAUAGAGAGAGAGGGAGCAAGAGAACAAGAGUUACAUGCGAUUAGAUUUCCUUCAAG